rnacentral:rRNA from 1 species
GUGUCAGCCGCCGCGGUAAUACCAGCACCCCGAGUUGUCGGGACGAUUAUUGGGCCUAAAGCAUCCGUAGCCUGUUCUGCAAGUCCUCCGUUAAAUCCACCUGCUCAACGGAUGGGCUGCGGAGGAAACCGCAGAGCUAGGAGGCGGGAGAGGCAAACGGUACUCAGUGGGUAGGGGUAAAAUCCAUUGAUCUACUGAAGACCACCAGUGGCGAAGGCGGUUUGCCAGAACGCGCUCGACGGUGAGGGAUGAAAGCUGGGGGAGCAAACCGGAUUAGAUACCCGGGUAGUCCCAGCUGUAAACGAUGCAGACUCGGUGAUGGGUUGGCUUCGAGCCAACCCAGUGCCGCAGGGAAGCCGUUAAGUCUGCCGCCUGGGGAGUACGGUCGCAAGACUGAAACUUAAAGAAUUGACGGGG